rnacentral:lncRNA from 1 species
UCUCAGCAGGACAGCCGGACCCCUGCCCCAGGCUCUCAGCAGGACAGCCGGACCCCUGCCCCAGGCUCUCAGCAGGACAGCCGGACCCCUUGCCCCAGGCUCUCAGCAGGACAGCCGGACCCCUGCCCCAGGUACUCAGCAGGACAGCCGGACCCCUACCCCAGGUACUCAGCAGGACAGCCGGACCCCUUGCCCCAGGCUCUCAGCAGGACAGCCGGACCCCUGCCCCAGGUACUCAGCAGGACAGCCGGACCCCUUGCCCCAGGCUCUCAGCAGGACAGCCGGACCCCCUGCCCCAGGCUCUCAGCAGGACAGCCGGACCCCUGCCCCAGGCUCUCAGCUGGACAGCCAGACCCGCCCCAGGCUCUCAGCUGGCGGUCAAGGUCUCCUGCUUUACUGAUAAACUUGUCUCCAGGGACCCACACCCCCUGCCCAAGGGCUCUUGAUCCUGGGCAGACUUAGAAGCAGUGCAGGGCCUCAGUGUGGGCCCUGAGCCUCGGGCUCUAAAGGGUGAAUGGCACGUUCACACCAUCGUCUUUCCUGGAAACGACAGCGCCUGCCAUUCAGGACAUUACCCAGCCCCCGGCCUGAUAGCCCAUGACUCUCCGGUUCAUAACACAAAAUCACACUUUUCAUCAAGAAGCUUGUAUUCUCCAGAUAAUUCAAGAAUCCACACAGCAAAUCCAGCACAGACUGUUUGCUUCCCAACACCCAGACACAUGUGCCUGCAAAUUCCUGAUGUUACGAAGACCUGCCCCGGAGAGGGGAGGCAUCGCCCCAGGUAACCCCAGGCCACAACCCACAUCCCACACCCCAGACGACCCCGGGACAUCGACAGUCCACACCCUAGACAACCCCGAGGCACUGAAAACCCACACCCACACCCGAAAUAACCCUGGGACACUGACAACCCACACCCCAGACAAUCCCAGACAACCCCGGGACACUGACAACCCACUCCCCAAAUAACCCUAGGCAACCCCAGUAUGCUGACAACCCACACCCCAGACAACUCCAGGAGACUGACAACCCACACCCCAGCUGACCCCGCAUCCUGGCUGUGAUGGGGCUGCCAUCCACACCGCCUGCUCCAAGGGCUCUGCUGCUCCGGGUUGGACCUGCACGGUUCUGGGUCACUGCAGGACUUGGGACAAGUGACUCAGUUCCCCAUUGAGCAGGACAGCAUCCCAGCCGCCCUGGGUUACUGUGAUAUCAGGAGUCAGUGGCCAACGUUUCCUGAGCCCUCUUUCUGAGGCCAGACGCCAGCAUGGAGGCUGCAGCGAGUCCCUUCCCUCAUCUGCACGAGGCUUGGGGACCCCAUGGCCACCUGGCCCAGAAAACCCGUCCACAGCAUCUGUCGACCAAAAGAAGAACCGCCAGAGUCCAGGGAAGCAGCUUGCCGGGAACCUGCCAGGUUUGCAUCGAAUUCCCCGAGUUCCGGAAACCCCGUCCGUCCCAGGCAAACAGGCACCGUGGGUCACCCUUCCGGGACCCACAUUCGCGCCAGGCCUAGGUGGAGGCCUUGGCCCUGGGAAGGAAGGCUGACCAGAAGCCUCGGCACCCUGCCCCCGCGGCCACGUGUGGACGCAGAGGCCUCUUGGGCGGUGAAAGGCUGCUCCUGAAGGCGUUUCUGGUUUUUCCAUUUAUAAAGCAGAGUGAGGUUAUAAAUCAGAAAAGUGUUUACAGGAGACACACAGCUGGCAAUAACAGCUUUGAGGGGCCACUGCGUCUCUGUGACUAUUUCAUCUUCCACGCCAACUUAAACAUGAGAAAAAAAGGCUUUGCAGCCCAGGGCCCCGCUGCACGGCCCAGCAGAUCGAGAGCAUUUGCAAUAAUUCAUAGACUUCUCACUUUCAUUUUUCUGCCGCCCAGGAAUUACAUUCCACUAUUAAAAUGCGCUGGGACUGCCUGGCCCGGCCGCUCCUGCGUGUUCAGACACAGGUCGGGCGAGGACCCUGUGCGGCCCCAAGCGGACCCUGCUGCGGCUCCGGGGCCGGGCGCUUGCCCCCUGCUGGACACACGGUGCACUGCAGGCAGCCCAGAGGGCCCUCCCCGCUCUGCGGGUGAGAAAAUCCCGAGACAGGCGGGUUUCCUCUGAGAUGGCCACGGUUCCAGGUGAGAAAGCAGGCGGGAGGGAAGAAGCUGGCGUCCAGGCCCCUGUGCAGUCACAUCUGGUCCUCUGCGGCCCGUUCCUGUUCUUGGGAUGCUGGCGGGGGCACUGCCCCAGCUCAGGGGCACAGAAGACCCAGAUGGGUGCAGGCAGGAAGGCCAGCUUGGUCGGGGUGGUGGGGGGGGCCUGGGCCAAGGCCAGAGCCGGGACAGCCCCCAGGUGUGGUCGGGCCUGGACCUUCCCUACUGCAGACCCAGUGGGUCCCACUCGCCUUCAGUCGAGGCUUUGUCACCUCAGGGCAAGUUGAGGGCAGAGCUGGGACUCCCCAGAUACUGCCUGAUCUGCUCUCACUGACCCAGCCCCAGAGCCCCAGGCAGGAGGGAUGGGCAGGGCCUGAGGGACAGGUCUCUGUGGUCCUCAGAGCCUCACCCAUUCACAGUCAGGCAUGGGGCCAGAGAAGGCCGUGCUUCAGUGGGACCACCCACUGAAGGCCGAAGGCCGGUGCCAGCCGUCCCCACAACAGGACCCGGAGGCCUCUCUGCCCCAUCCUCCAGAUCCAGCCUCUAGUGUGCACAAGCUGAGAGGGGAUGCUGAGGGCAAGAAGGAGCGGGACUUGGGUGUCCUGUCCCACACGCCCCCGAGGGGCUGGCAGGGGAGGAUGGGGCAAGAUGGUGGAGCUUGUCAGGGGAGAUGGGGAGCACAUUUCAGCAGCUGUGCUCUUCUGGGACAGCACAAACUGUCGGGGAGAAGAGUGAUGGCCGGCAAUGCCCCUGGGCAGCGAGGGGUCCCGAGUCCAGGGGCUCAAAUGCUUCGGGGCACGGUGACAAUGCCACCUCCUCCAGGAAGUCUCCCCAGACUGCACUGCCCAGUGGUGACUCUGAGCUGACUGCACCUCCCCUGAACUCCCGCCCUAGGAGCAGCCACUCUCCGGCUGCAUGACUCUCUAAGACUCGGGAGGUUUGGGGCGCAGUCCCAGAGGUUUUUCAGGAAACAGCCACUAAAUGGAUGAAUGAAUGAUGAAACCUGCUGCUCAAGGGCUGCAGACCUGGGCUCUCCCUGCACUGCCCGGGCCCUCAGGGCUGCACCACCCAGGCUGGGUCGGGCCACACACCCCAAAAGGGCCCUGCCAAAGCCCUCCCACCCCAGAAACAGAAGAAGGGGCCGGCGGCCACCCCUGGGCCCAGCCCCGGCCUCCCCUUGUAUGCCCCCAGCCCCCCACCAAUGCCCUCCCCUGCCCCUGGUGGGUCAGAGAUCUCCUGGAGGCUACAGGGAGCAAAGGCGAUGCCCGCAGGUGGCGAGCGUGUUCUCAGGAGCAGGUGGGCAGGGGCCUUGCAGACUCUUCAUUUCUUCCUUCCCUUAUCACCGUUAGCCAUUUUCAUGGGAUAGAGAUACAGAGGAGCUCCCAUUACAAAGCGCCAUUAAACUGUCGUCUGUGCAACUGUGUGUGAAGAGGCAUCGGAUAACGGUCAGGGCUGUGCACGCCUGAGUUGCUGGCCCUGCACCCGGCCCAGCACUCCUAGAGAGAGGCCUCACCUAGAGAGACAGGCCUUCUU